AUGGAUCUGGUCCUGGUCUACCCCUCCCCCUGGCGCCCCUCCGACACGGGCCUCGCCGACGCCUUCCGCGGCGCCGAUUUCUUCAAGACCCGCCGCAUGCACGGCCUCAAGCACGUCGACGACUCCGGGUGGGAGUUCGACUACAUGUUGGGCGACGAGAUUCAAAUCGCCCACCGGAAGCAGCGAGCCAGCUACAGCCCGCUGAGGCAGGCCCUGUCCCUUUACCCCGACAGGCAAGUUUUGAAGGACAACAGCUUCCUUGAGUUCCACACGCUCUCCUACCAGGAGGACCAGGGGCUGCAGCAUGUGGUCUGCAUCCGCCAUGACCGCUAUUGGGCGCGGGCAAGUGUCGCUCUCUUCUCAUCCAACACCAUGGAGUGGCAAAUUUUCCCUUGGGUGGAAACAAAGGCCCUGGGCCUGGUGCCCAAGAAUGCCAGAAGCUCUAUAAACCCUGGUAAGGUGGUUGAUGGAUUCAUAUACUGGAUAUUUCCGAAGGGAGCCGGUAUGCUCGUGCUCAAUGCGACGACAUCUCAGUUCCACCGAAUGGAUAUGCCGCGGCCCUUGAGUACGGUGCUCUUUACUACAUUCAAGCUUGGCGAGACCAAGGACGGGAAGCUCUGUAUCGUGCACCUAAAUUUUGAGGGCAUCAAUGAUGGGAUGCUUUUUGUUUGGUUGUGGGGAAAAGAUAGCGAUGGUGUGGAGAGAUGGAUGUUUGACAAGUCGUUUCCAUUGUGCGCAAUUGUUGAGUUCAUUAAUUGUUCAAUGGUAAUUCAUUCCAAAGUAGGAAUUUUGUCAGUUAUUGAUGGCUUUGUGUACCUGUCAGUUGCUGAAUGUCGGAACCGUAGUAAUUCUUCAGAGUGGUUCCUAUCAUUUUGCCUGGAGACUUCAGAACUGCAUCAGCUCUUUGAGGGCCCAUAUCAGAGUCAUCAUGAUGCCCAUCCCUAUGUCAUGCCGUGGCCUCCUUCUUUGGUAUACAACAAGGAUGGUUCAGAAGCUAAAGUUACUAAAAACUGUGCUGCAGAGGAUAGUCCUGUGGGCAAAGAAAAACCUCGUCCUAUCCUUAUCACAGCAUUGCAAUCUUUCAAAGAAGCUUUGAUUGAUGAUGAUGAAGCAAAUACUACCGAGGCAGCAGCCUUUUUCACAAUUGAGGAUGAGAAGAUGUCUCUCAUGAGAAAAAUGGCUACUUUGGAUGUACGAUUGACAAAUGCAAGAGAUCAUGUCCUGAGGUUAAGUGCUGACUCUGCAAAAUUGAAUAUACCAUGUCUUGAUGAUGAUUGCCAUUUCUGCUUUCUUUCACAAAUUCACAGUUAG
rnacentral:rRNA from 1 species